rnacentral:rRNA from 1 species
CCUACGGGAGGCAGCAGUAGGGAAUCUUCCACAAUGGGCGAAAGCCUGAUGGAGCAACGCCGCGUGGGUGAAGAAGGUCUUCGGAUCGUAAAACCCUGUUGUUAGAGAAGAAAGUGCGUGAGAGUAACUGUUCACGUUUCGACGGUAUCUAACCAGAAAGCCACGGCUAACUACGUGCCAGCAGCCGCGGUAAUACGUAGGUGGCAAGCGUUAUCCGGAUUUAUUGGGCGUAAAGGGAACGCAGGCGGUCUUUUAAGUCUGAUGUGAAAGCCUUCGGCUUAACCGGAGUAGUGCAUUGGAAACUGGGAGACUGGAGUGCAGAAGAGGAGAGUGGAACUCCAGGUGGAGCGGUGAAAUGCGUAGAUAUAUGGAAGAACACCAGUGGCGAAGGCGGCUCUCUGGUCUGUAACUGACGCUGAGGUUCGAAAGCGUGGGUAGCAAACAGGAUUAGAGACCCGAGUAGUC